AUAAGACAGGAAGAACUUCAAGGCCGAGACCAUGGGCAAGUAAAACAGAACGAACGAAUAAAUGAAAACAAAGCGUAGCGAAACUUUUCACUUUGUCUAAAAUUGGAGCAUUCACCCCACGAUUAUUACCAGCAGAAAUGUUAGAGAGGAACCGAAACUAACAACGGGGAAUGACAAUGAAGCGCAAUUGAAACAAUAAAGGGAAUGAGCAGGGUGAGAUCAGGGAUCGGCAGUGGGUGGCAUUCAUACCCAUUUCGACACAUAACACAUAUAAGGCAUAUCAGUACUUAAUAACUUUUUCCUUUUCGGCCCAAUGGUUCGGCCGAGUAUAGUACCAGCAAAUCAUUAAUAGCUUAAAUACUCUUAAGAAUAUUAUAUAAAUAAGUAAUGGCUUCAAUAAAAUACGUAAAUGCGCGCAUACUUCAGACACUGUAUCCCGCUGACAGUGACGUUGGCGUAAUAAAUAAAGAACGUACUAUACUGAUAA